CCUGAACUACCGGCUGAGGACAUACGAUGAUAAACAAGAGUAUAAUGUAAAACGGAAAUACAGAGACAGCAAAAGUAAACAUUUUACGAGUCAAGCGUCCUUCUGCCUGGGCUCUCGGUUGAAGACAGAAGUCCCUGGCUUUCUGUGUUCUGCCCCAAACGUCCACAUGGUGGCGUCUGGCGGGCCUUUCAGAAUAAACCCAGAGGUGAACGUUCCAGAAGGCAUUGAGAAAUCCGGCUCACAACAGGAAGAAAACAAACCAAAUGUCGGAGCCAGCAAAAACAGACUUCUUCUGAGCCAGGUGGCCUACUUCCAGAACUACCAGAUGAAGACAGACAAAGAUCGAAAAGGUCACGACGAAGAACAGAAAUACAGAGACAGGAAAAAUAAACUUAUGAGUCAAGUUGCCUACUACCUGGGCUGCCGGCAUAAGACGGAAGUCCCUGGCUUUCUGUUAUCUGCUUCAAACAUCAGCAAGGUGGCAUCUGGCCGGCCUCCUUACAGAAAAUACACAGAGGU
rnacentral:lncRNA from 13 species